rnacentral:rRNA from 1 species
UUGAACGCUGGCGGCAGGCCUAACACAUGCAAGUCGAACGGUAACAGGAAGAAGCUUGCUUCUUUGCUGACGAGUGGCGGACGGGUGAGUAAUGUCUGGGCAACUGCCUGAUGGAGGGGGAUAACUACUGGAAACGGUAGCUAAUACCGCAUAACGUCGCAAGACCAAAGAGGGGGACCUUCGGGCCUCUUGCCAUCGGAUGUGCCCAGAUGGGAUUAGCUAGUAGGUGGGGUAACGGCUCACCUAGGCGACGAUCCCUAGCUGGUCUGAGAGGAUGACCAGCCACACUGGAACUGAGACACGGUCCAGACUCCUACGGGAGGCAGCAGUGGGGAAUAUUGCACAAUGGGCGCAAGCCUGAUGCAGCCAUGCCGCGUGUAUGAAGAAGGCCUUCGGGUUGUAAAGUACUUUCAGCGGGGAGGAAGGGAGUAAAGUUAAUACCUUUGCUCAUUGACGUUACCCGCAGAAGAAGCACCGGCUAACUCCGUG